ACAGAGGCGACCUGUCGCCUUAAGUCCUGGGUGGCCCGUCACCUCCAGGCUGAGGCAGACCUGUCUCCACCCGCUGGUCCUGCAGGCCAGCCUCGGGGUCCCCUUUGCUGGGGCCUUCAAGGGAUGCGCUGGACGCGCUGGGCCUGAAGCGCUACUGCUGCCGCCGGAUGCUGCUGGCCCACGUGGACCUGAUCGAGAAACUGCUCAACUAUGCACCCCUGGAGAAAUGACCGCGGGAGCCCAGCACCUGCCCUGCUGACCCGCGACCGUGGCCGGCAGCGUCUCGCCCAGAGUUCCUGAAACGGGGGGGAGGGGCAGGGCCUGACCACAUGCAGGGCUGUGUGCCCCCACUCUGGAGGGGGCCGUCCAGUAAAGGUCUUUCGGAAGCACUGA